UCGGGAAUAUUGCACAAUGGGCGAAAGCCUGAUGCAGCGACGCCGCGUGAGCGAAGAAGGCCUUCGGGUUGUAAAGCUCUGUUGCCCGUGACGAAGGACCGCAUCAGGGAAUGGGUGCGGGGAGACGGUAGCGGGCGAGGAAGCCCCGGCCAACUACGUGCCAGCAGCCGCGGUAAUACGUAGGGGGCGAGCGUUGUCCGGAAUUAUUGGGCGUAAAGGGCGUGUAGGCGGCCUGUCAAGUCAGGGGUGAAAACCCGGGGCUCAACUCCGGGGUUGCCCUUGAAACUGGGAGGCUUGAGUGCUCUAGAGGGCAGUGGAAUUCCCGGUGUAGCAGUGAAAUGCGUAGAGAUCGGGAGGAACACCAGUGGCGAAGGCGGCUGCCUGGGGAGUAACUGACGCUGAGGCGCGAAAGCUAGGGGAGCAAACAGG
rnacentral:rRNA from 1 species